AAUGCUUAAUGAAUCAUUGUUAUCAAAACUUCUACUGGAUUAAUUUAUAUUUUAAUUAUUUGAAAUUUAUCUUCAGUUUGAACUUAUGGAUAAAAAGGGGUAGGGAAGGGUUAUGCUGAUAAUAUUCUUCUUGAAACUAUUUGAAUGACAGAUCAUGCUUGAGAUAUUGGACAGUUUGUAUUGAAGAAAUUUCCAUAAAUUAUACAGUAACAAGUUUGACCUGUAAAGUAAUAGCUUGAAAGUUGAACCUACACAGAAUGUUUGAGGGUAAAUAGUAAGUGGAUCAGAUUAUGCUUCAUAUUUUGUGAAAGGCGAUCUAAUUGUCAGUUAUCUUUAUCAGAUUGUUAUCUUUAUGUUCAAAGAUUAUAUCUUGUAUACAAAUAGAAAGUUAAAAUGUCAUUUCAGAAUUUAAAAUGAAUCAGUGUUAAAGUUGAAUAUAUCAAUUUUAGCAAAGUGUAAAUUAUUUAAGUAUGCAAAUCCUUUUUGUGUAGCUAAAUAUUUAGGUUUCUGGGUUAAAGUUGGGUUGGGGAGGGAUGGGGUAACCUAUAAUAUCUUAUUUGUCAGUGAACACAAGUCCUUGAAGAUACCAGAUUCACAUUCAGUGGAAAAGACCCUAGAUCUGCUUCCUGUGAUAGUCCUUGUACCCAGUUCCCAGGUAGAUAGAAAGAUGCUCCUUGUUCAAGAAAAGUUUGAAACUAGGUGUCAAAUUUGAAAAAGUUUCAUUUGAGUAAGCUGUGAAUAUGGCAUGAUUUAAUUUGUAAUAUAAUAUAUUUUGAGAAUUUAAGAAUGCUUUAAUAUUAGUAUAAAUUUAAAAUAUAUAUUCAAUAAUGGUUAAAAUUUAUCAGAUAUGUUAUUAAUAUUAAUAAGUUAAUUCAGAAACUGGGGGAUCGGGUAUGACUAACAUUUCUUAUUACCAGCAAAAGUUUCAAAAAAAAGGAUGGUAACGUGCGGAUAUUGGCCCAAGGGAUAGUACAUCCUGUGACCAAAAGGUUUGAAACAAGUACAGUAAAGUUUGAAUAAAGUGAUGUAUAAUAAAAGACCUGAAGCAGAGUAUGACAUGAAAAAGAGGCCUUGACAAAAGAAUGGUAUUUCUAUCAUAGUUAUCUAUAUUUUUUAUAUUAGAUUAUUUUUAUUUUAAUAAGUUGUGCUGUUGUAUUAUUAACUAUAUUAAAAAGAAAAUGACGUUUUAUUAAGUUGCAGAGGGUUUUUUUCUUCAUCAACUUGAAAAAUUUAUUAAGAACAAAUUAAACUAUAGAUUAGUGAAUUGUAGGAUUGUUGCUCUGACAUAUAUACAUUGUAGGUAUAAAGAUUUAAUGCAAGUUUGGUAUCUUUUGACAGUGAUUUAGAUGCUUAUAUACCCUUAUUGUAUGCCUUGAAAUGUACUUAUAUUUAUUGUGUGAUAUUUUUCAAAGCAUUUGUAGGAAACAUGAUUAAGCGUGAACGAGUAUAAAAGCUCUUGAAUUUGUUCAAUAUCCAUGCCUUAUGUAUAAAACUCAAUUAACCGGUGUUUUAGUUGCUUAAUAUACUUGCACUUAUUUAAAUUGAAAUCAUCUAAGUAUAUAAUAUUAAUAUUUUAUUUUAAUGUUUGAUUUUACUGAUAUUUGACUGACUUUAAGGGUGGGUGGGUAUUAAUUAAAAAGGUUUGCUUUUUUGGUAGUAUGAUUUUAACAGAUGGAUUGAAAUGUGUGAGAUGACUUAAGUGUUGUGCCUUGAUCUAGGUUGAAAUUGUGUAGAUCCUGUGAUAAAAUGUGACUGCUAAAAAACAAAAGUAGAUAUUGAAAUCUGUAGUGCCACUAUAGAAGCUUAUUGAAACGAGCCUACAUUACAUAUAAAGGUAUGAAAUGGUGUUGUUUGCAUGCUAUUAAAAUAUUUUUUUAUGGAAAAGAAAUGAAAAAUGAAAAAAAAAAACUGAAUUGGAACUUUGUAGGGUGGGUAGGGAAUACUAUGAAAUAUGAAUGUUCAAUGUGUUGGUAAUUUUUUGUGUGUGAUAUAAAUAAAAUUUUGACAAGAUAUAUAUGUAAAUAUCUUUUUAAUUGGAAGAAGAAAGAUAAAAAAAAAACUUAAAAAAACCUAAGGGGGGUGGGGUGAUUAUUAUCAGUCUUAAAUGUUCACAGUUAGCACCAUAAAAGACCAGCGAAAAGAAAAUCAUCAUUGUCCCUCCAACAGUAAAAGCAAAGAUGGUCAAACUAUAUUUAGCCUAUCUAGUUAGUUACUGAUGGUGUUUGUCAAGCUUUCACUCCUGGGAGCAAGUAAGCAUUUUACUUUCAUAGUUGCAGAAGACACUUGCAGUUUCAUGUAUUGAUAUUAAAACAAUUAUUAUAUUAGUUGAAGAUAACAAUGUUUCAAUUGAAUGAGAAUAAUGCAAAAUAAAAAGCUAUAACUGUGAUAGUGAAAGUUUAUACUUCAAGAUCAUAUUUAUAUUCCCAUUUGUCUUGUAAAAGAUUUUUCCUGAGAUUUUAAAAACUUUCAUCUAUAUACUUUAUAGCCAUACCAUAUGAAAAUUGAAAAAGGUAGAAAACAGUAGAUGUUGUAUGUAAAAAUUUGGAGGGGUGGGGUUGUAAUUUAAAUCAUUAGUAUUCCACAGUGUGAAGCAGUUGAAAAAGCAUCAAUGGUCCAUAAAGUUCCAGACAAUAUAAAAUUGAUAUAGGUGGUCUAAGUUUUUACUGAUCAAGUACAGUGGCAAGUACACAAAUUUUAUUACUCUCAUGAAAUUGAAAAGUUUUCCUUUUGUUUAUAGGAAUAUUGUUGUUGUAUCAUUGUAUUUGUUUUUAUUUUUCACUGUAACAAUUGUAUUUAUUCAGUAAAGAAAAGAUUUUGUAUUCUAUUUCUAUUUAUACCUAUCUUUGCUUUGUAGAAGGUUUUUUUAACCAACACUAAAUCAUUAUGCAAAAUCGGGAGGGUGGGAGAGUACAAAUUUCUUUCUUUUAUAGUCUAGACCAUAUUGGUUAAUGCUUGUGUUAUCUAAUGAGGUAUGGCAGUGUAGCUUUGUUGGUGUGUAACAUAUUCCAAUAUUUGACCAGUGCAUGCAUCACAUUACUUGUAUUAUUUAAUUUUGUAACUGCAUACAAUUAGCAAAACACAUGCUCCCACUUUAAUAAUAAGUGUCACCAGUUUAGUUUAAUUCUUGGAUAUUGGUUCUUUUUAAUCAUGUUGACCUUUGUUUUUUACAUACUAACCAUUUUCAUAAUCUGAUUAUUCCUUAUCAGUUAGUCUAGAAGUGUAGCUCUCAACUUGUAUGAUUUGUAUUGUCACUUUCUGAUGGCUGAAGUUAUUUCUAUUCAUAAGGUCUUUCCUUAUGUAUUAUAACAGGUUGGCUGCUUUUGAAUUUGUUUUCAAUAUUUUUAAUCAUUUAUCCACAGCUCUUGCUUUUUGUACCUAAAUAGUAGGCAAGUGAAGGUAUGCAUUAAUUUUUCCCAUUAUUUAUAUUGUGUAUGUUUGUUGAUGUUUAAAUUGAUUUACAUAAUUUUUUUUCAAAGUAUUGUAAAUAUCAGCAAUAAGUGGAUUUUUUUAAAAGGUUUUAAGAGUUGAGAAUAAUAAAUAAAAGUGGUGUGAAAAUUUUAAAGGGGGGGUGUAUAAUAAUUCUUAUUCACAGUAUUGACCGUUCAAGACCAGUGAAAAGUGAAGCAAUAUUGUCCCUCCAUGAAAAAAAAAUGUUGCCAAAACUGAAACCUGCCUGUCUAUUAGACUUUUGAUGCUGUUUGUCAAGCUUUUGCUUUGGGAGGCAGGUAAACAUUGAUUUGUUUUUGUCAUGCUUAAAAAAUUAGAUAAAAAGAACAAUUAUUUUACUACUAUAAAAAUGUUAAUGUCUAAAACAUAUUACAUAUGAGCAUAAAUGAUAACAUAACAGUAAUAGUGAUCAUUCUAUUUAUUUUAUUAUUCUGCUAGUCUUUUGAAAGAUCUUAUCUCAGAUUUAAAGGUAAAUAGAUUAAGACAUAUCAUAUUGAUGUUUGAAAAGAGGUAGAAAAACGUACUUGUAUAUGAAAUUAUGGGGGAUGGGGACUGUUAAUAAUCAUUAGUUUUCCAGUGUGCAUCAUCAUCAGAAGCAAGGUCCAUCUUAAAGCUCCAGACAAUAAAUAAGAUUGUAAUGAGCAUGUCGCAUAUAAAGCUAUUUCUGAGGAGCUUCAAGUACGGUGGCAAGUACACAUAUAUUUAUCAGUUGCAUACUUACCAAUAUAACAGAUCCAAUUUUAUUGCACAAUACUAAUUAAAUGAUUCCUUCUAUUAGUUUGAAUAUUUAUAAUGAAUACAGGCAUUUUACAUAAGAAAAUGUUGCAAUUAUAUUGUAAUGCAAGGAUUUUAUAUUCAUAUUUUUUAUUGCGAAUUUAUUUUCACUACAAUUGUAAUGAUGUUGGGUGGUUGGGGUUUUUGACUAACAUUGAUUUGUUUAUCUCAAAAGCACAGAUUGGAUUGAAAAUCCUGUAGUAUCAUGUCAGUAUGAAGAAAGUGGAAAAGUUGGUUGAACAUAAGUGGUAAAUUGUUAUCUGUAGUAGUCAUUUAAAUUGUAAACACUUCAGAAUUUACAUUUUAUUUUGACCUACUUUGGUCACUUUGCAGUGAAAAUCAUAGAAAGAUAUGCAACAAUUAUAAUUAUCUGAUGAGGAAUGACUAGUUUUGUUCUUUUAGAUGUGUUAAAAAUUCCUCGCUAUCUCAUCACUUUUGUUUUAUUAAUCUUGGCUUUGUAGAAAGUUUUUAAACAUGCUGUAAAUCAUGAUACAGGAAGGGGGAGAGGGAGUUCACAUUUCUUUCUUUUGCAGUAUAGCCUUUAUUGGUUAACCCUUGUGGUAUCUAAUGAGGUAUGGCAGUGAAGCUUUGUUCUUAUUAUUGUGUUACAUAUUCCAGUAUUUUACCAAUGCAUGCAUCACAUAAUUUUAUUUUUGUAACUGCAUACAAUUAGCAAAUCACAUGCUCCCACUUUAAUAAGUGUCACCAGUUUAAUUACAUUCUUGGAUAAUGGUUCUAUUUAGUCAUGAUUUUUUACUAACCAAAUUCAUAAUCUGAAUAUUCCUAGAUAAUCUGCUAGUGAAGCUUUUUUUACCUACAUGAUCUUGUGUUUGAGUGUGCAAAUUGCCAUUAUAAAUAUGGAAUAAUGGGGUGGGGGAGUUCACAUUUUUUUCUUUUGUAGUAUACUUGACCUCUAUGGUCAUACUGGACCGCUAUGGUCAAUGUACACAGUUAUCUGGUGAGGAGUGAUGGUGAAGCUUUGUUCUUGUUGGUGUGUUAGAUAUUCCAGCUAUUUACCAGUGCAUGUAUGGCGUAACUUUUAAUUUGUACUUGCAUACACUAAGUAAAACAUAUGCUCCCACUUUCAUACUAGCUAUCACAACUUCUUGGAUAAUGGUUAUAUUUAUUCAUGUUGAUCUUUGUUAUAUUUAUUUACUAACAACUUCCGUGAUCUGAAUUAUCCUAGCUAGUGUAGCUUUUAACUUUUUGUUGACAAUGUUGAGAUUUUGUUGUCUUACUAUUAGUUAUACUUGAUAUUGUUUUCCAUUUUGAUGUUUUUUCAUCCUUGUAUUUAAAACACAGGAACUGCGCUUGGAUUGCAAUCGGUUGUAUUGUUUGAUUUUUUUCUAUAGCACUAGCUUCAAGUUUCUACAAGAUAUAUAAGCCAAUUUUAGAUUAUGCAUUUUCUAGUUGUAAUAUUUAAAAACCUAUAUCUAUUUUAUUCUAUUUAUAACUUUUUAGGGAUUUUUUUUUAAUAAUCCCAUAAAUAACAUUAGGUUUGCAGAGAGUUUUUAUUUAGGUCGCUGUAUCUGUGUGCCAUGUUUAUGAAAAUGGACCAGCCAAUGAUGUAAGAAAAUACUUUUGGGAGAAUAAAAGGAGGUGAUUUUGGGAGCCUGACCUGGAAGUAAUGUUUUUUUUUAACAUAUUUGUUUAUAUUAUAUCAAUAGAAGAAAUUUUUCAACAAAAAGUUCAAUGGGCUUGAAAUUUCUUUUAUCUAAGAUUAACUAUUGAUUCAUAAGUUAAAUCUUUAUAUGCCAAGAUUAUGAAGAUAUAUAGAAAUUGAAGAAAAUGUAAUUAAAGGGAUGGGGCGAUGAUAAUAAUUUUUAUUGUUCAGUGUAAACCAUAUAAGUCCAGUGAAUAGAAUAGCUACAAAGUCCUCUGUAUAAACCUUGGAAGGUAAACAUGAAAUAUGCCUGUCUAGUUAGAUAUUGAUGCUGUUCCGCGAAAGGCAAGUAGACAUUAAGUUGUUACUUUCAUACUUUGAAGUAUCUUGCAACGUUUUUUGUUUUUUUGUAACAAUUAUGUAGGAGUUGUAAAUGACUGUUUCCUUUGAAUGAGAAAACUGCAAAGUUGCAUUUAAAUGUAUAUAAUGGAUUAGCAAUUACUUAAUAUUAAGAGGUUGAAAAAUACAAUUUAUAUUAUGUAUAAUAGAGGGGGGUAGGGGAAUGAUGAUAAUCAUUAGUAUUCCACAGUGUACACCAUUAUAAAAGGCGGCGAGUGUCCAUCAUAAAGUUCCCGGCUAUAUAAAAUUGAAACUGGCAUGUCUAGUAAGCUGUUGACUCUUAGCUUUCAAGUAGAGUGGCAAGUACACAUUAAUAUAUUACUUUCGCUACUUUCAUGCAAAUGAAAUGUUUUAUCCUUACUGGAUUUUUUUUUGAUUUUUUUCAUUCUUUGUAUUAAAGAUUGUUACUGUAGAACAAUUCUAAUGUAAAAUUGUAAUGCAAUGUUUUUUUUUAGUAGUGUUAUUUUUGAGAUUAUAUCUUUUUAUACUAGUAGUUUACUGAUGUGGGUGGGUGGGGUGAAUUAUAUGUUCCCACUUUAUUUGCCAGAAAGAAGUAAAAGUUGAGCUGAGAUCAAUUGAAGAAAAUGGUAUGAAUUGUCAGAUUUAUUUCUGUCUUGUUAGUUUUGCAUUUUUAGUUUUAAACAUUUUGAUGUACAUUUGUAAAAAAGGAAGCAGAGUUCUUUAUUAGAUAAAAUCAAGAAAAUUUAUUUGUCAAGAUUACAGGUGAAAGUGGCACAUAAACUAACUAUAAAAUAAGAAAUUAUUUGUUGAUAUUUCAUCAAAAUGGGUAGGGUGGGGAUUUGACUAAUAUUGAAAUUUUUUCUCAGAAAGAAGCAUGAAAUGGAUUUAAAAUCUGAAGUGUAGACAACGGUAAAAUUAUUAAAUGAUGUGAGCGUUUUUAAACCUCAAAGGGUUCAAUAAACAAUAAUAUAAUUUGUAUACACUUAGGAAAGAAGAUUUAGAUUUUUAUUUUGACCUAUUUGUUAAUCUUGCAAUGGAAAUGACAAUGUUUUGCAGUAAAUGAUGUUUUUCACUUUGGAAUAAGGGGGUGGGUAGUUCACAUUUAUUUCUUUUGUAGAACAUUUAUAUCUGGUGAGGAAUGAUGGUGUAGCUUUGUUCUUGUUGGUGUGUUACAUAUUCCAGUAUUUUACCAGCAUGCAUCACUUUAAUUGAUUUUGUACUUGUAUACACUUUAGCUAAAAAAUAUGCUCUGUGACUGUCUUUCACAGAUGUCACCAGAUUAGUUAAUUCUUGGAUAAUGGUUCUUUUAAUUGUGUUGAUCUGUUUUAUAUUAUACUAACCAAUUUCAUAUUCCUAGAUUAUCAGCUAGUGCAGCAUUGAACUUUAUGGAUAUAUAAUAUAUGUGUAGUGUCACGUUCUAAAUGCUGAAGUUGCUUUUUAUUUUGAGGUCUUUAAUCCUUAUUUAUGAUACCAGGUCCGCUGCUUUUAUUUUGCAUACUCGGCAUUAAUGAUUUAUACCCAGCACAUUUAUGUAUAGAUAUUUGGUUUGUCACAAUCUAAGCUUUUUAAUUUGAGGUCUUUAUUGAUAAUCAUUCUGUAUUAUAACAGGUCAGCUGCUUUUGAUUUGUGUAUAUGUCGUCAUUAAUGGUUUAUCCAUAGCACUUUGUUUAUAUACAUAUGCAAGUUGGGUAGCAGAAAUUUUUAUUUCAGCAAGCAUGAAUCCGUGAUGGAGAAGGUAGAAGUAAAUAUAUGACCAAGGAAGGCAAAUAAGAUAACUAUGCAAGGGUCCUGAUCUUUGGCUUACUAAAAUUGGCAUGCAAGGAAGUGAGACAACACUGCCAGCUGGUCAGAGCAGAGGAUAAACCUACCUCCCUCUCUCUCAGUUUGGCUUGAAAGGAGAGAGUAAGGGUUGGGUAGCCGGCUCGCAGCAAUAACCUGUGCACAUUAGACUUCCAAAAUAUAAAUGUCUUUUAGCAAAUUUGUUAGAAUUAAUUGAUCUUUCAACUAUUGUUCAGUGUUCAACUUAAAUAAUGCUCAUUAUGGAUAAUUUGGUAACAAACUAAACAUUAUAUUUAAAAAAAAAAUGCUUCCAAAAUAUAAAAGAACGUUCUCAAAAUGUUGUAUUCAGUAACUUUAUUUAGCAACAUCAAUAAUGGUAAUUUUAAACCACUUUAAUAAGCUAAAAAUCUAUAUAAAAAGACUAGAUAAAAAAGGAAAAAGAUUUUGAAGAAAUGGAAUGAUUUAAAUAUUGUUAAUUGUGCAGAGUACUAGUAAAAAAGAAUUGUAAAUAUUAUUAAAUUAUUGAAUAAAAUUUAUCAUAAAACAUAA
rnacentral:lncRNA from 1 species